CCAGCCUCACGCGGUGCCCUCCAAUCUAAGGACGGAGAAGCCUCCGCCUUCGCAGAGACUCCACCGUUCAACUCACCACUUGGAACGGGCAGGCCAGAAGAUAGCACCCAAAGCCCAGCCUUCAGGGCAAGCCCAAUUGUACCACCAUCUUAAAGCUCCCACUAAGGUUACAGACUCGCGUUACCAAGCCCAGCGAGCAGUUCUUCCAGAUAGGAGCUUAUUAAGAGAAAAUAAUUCUCAUCUGAUUUCGUCAUUUCGAUGUGGGAUAUUGUGCGAGGGCUGCUGGUUUGGCUUUCAUGGCAUAAAAAUGGAGCAGACAACUAUCGGUACUCAUGGUUUUUGCGUUGUAUCAUUGUUCACCAAAACUUAGUGAAUGAAAUGGCAGAGACAUAGCUGGGAAGCUUCCCUGAAUGGAAUGGCAGAUAUCAUUGGGUUCUGCUGCCACCGUCCAAUCACACCCUAUAAGCUUUGCGUUGUAUCAUUGUGACGGGAGGUGAUGAGGAAACAGGUAGCGGGCGCACUAUUUGGAAGCAUUGGGGAUGUCUCCUGGUGAACUGUGAUCUUAUAAUGGAAACAGGAAGCAUGCCCAGUGCCCCCAAUUUGUUAUGACCUGAGGAGUAUCAAAGUUCAGAGUUGCUAUCCUUAUGUGAAUCCUUUUUCCUAUUUUAUGUUGGUGGGGAUGCUAGCUCAUCAGAUGUUUGUACAGGAUUCUCAAAGUGGCACAUUGCAAUAUGGUAACUUUCCUUCUUUGUUUGAUAACUGAUACUCAAUCCUAUGGCUAUGAAUUUCUAGCAUUUCAAUUUUUUUUUUCUUUUUUUUUUUUUUCUGUUUGGUGUGACAGUCAGUCUGUGUAUGGCUUUGGUUUCUUUGAACCUAUUAAUAUAUAUUAUAUGCUUAGCUCUGUAGAUGGAUAGUUGAAAUUAUUACACCUCAACAUGUUAAUUGGCAAUUGCAGUAUACAUAAUUUAUAAUGCUAAAGGGUAGCUGUGAAAAUGACUCCAGUAUACGGUGCCAAAACACUUCACACUCCCAUUUAGCUCUCUAAAUUCUACAUUGUUGUAAGGUCUUGGGCUGUGUGACCCAAAAAGAAAAAGAUGGAGGUUCAAUUUGGGCUGGGAAAUUGAGCAGAGAGCUGUGUGCAUGGUUUUUGCGUUGUAUCAUUGUUCACCAUAAAGUUAGAAAUGAAUUGAAGUUGCAGCGGCGGUUCGUAUUGAUUGGUUGUGGCUGGAAAAUGGUGAAGGGACUCAGUAACGGAGCACAGAACCUCCCGGUGGACGUUACUCAGCUGAUGGAUCAGUUGCUUAGCCCCUGAUGCUUCUCUCCUCUCCAAAUCCACCUACUAUGAUCUCCAACUUGCGAGGCUGCGAGGGAGGAGAUAAGGAAAGAGCGGCCGCAAUAUUUGGAAGCAUGGGUGCUAUAUAUGUAAAAUUUUUCAGUUUUGAUCAUAUAUUGAGUUUAGGGGAAAUUAGGGUUGUGAUUUGAGAUUAUGCUUUUUUUUUUUUGGAGAUUAUAUAAAAUUUUGCAGUUUUAAUCUAUGUUUCCAUUCAAGGUUUUGGAGCAGAUACUUGGAGUGGUUAUCAAGCUUGUCAAAGAUAUAAAGUUGCAACAUCAGCAUAAAUAUGAUGAGCUUGCUACAAAAGACUUGGCUGAGCAAAUUAAAAUGUGUGACACUAUGAGUGCAAAGUUGAGGUAGGAUUCACCCAUUGCUAGGUUUGGUUGCUUUGCAAUUUGUUCUGUGUUGAGCUGAAAACAGAUUCUUUGUUUGUGACAAUGACGAUUUUUGGGAGGUCAUGCUCCUCUUUUGUUAAUGGAAGCUAUUCGCGACAUGCUCUACGAGGAUUGAGUUUUGUAUAUUCACCACAUUUAUCGGGAAGCAAUUAAAUAGUUGAGUUGAAUAGUUGGCUUGGAGCUAUACCUCCUCAAUACUUCAUUUAUAGGUUUUUGAUGAGCUCCCAAGUACGCUUUGGCCAUCACUUAUUGUAAUGUCUCAGAAAGACAUUUAUUUAGUUUCGAAAUAUCAUUCUUAUUGUCAGAUACAAAA